UACGUAGGGCGCAAGCGUUGUCCGGAAUUAUUGGGCGUAAAGAGCUCGUAGGCGGCCAGUUGCGUCUGCUGUGAAAUCCCGGGGCUCAACCCCGGGCGUGCAGUGGAUACGGGCUGGCUAGAGGCAGGCAGGGGAGAACGGAAUUCCCGGUGUAGCGGUGAAAUGCGCAGAUAUCGGGAGGAACACCGGUGGCGAAGGCGGUUCUCUGGGCAUUACCUGACGCUGAGGAGCGAAAGUGUGGGGAGCGAACAGG
rnacentral:rRNA from 1 species